rnacentral:rRNA from 1 species
UACGGAGGAUGCGAGCGUUAUCCGGAUUUAUUGGGUUUAAAGGGUGCGUAGGCGGGAUGCCAAGUCAGCGGUCAAAUACGGGGGCUCAACCUGCGUCCGCCGUUGAAACUGGCGCGCUUGAGUUCAGGCGAGGUAGGCGGAAUUCGUGGUGUAGCGGUGAAAUGCAUAGAUAUCACGAAGAACUCCGAUUGCGAAGGCAGCUUACCAGUCUGCGACUGACGCUCAGGCACGAAAGUGUGGGUAUCGAACAGG